GGCCUCCUGGUGCUUUCCAUAGGCUGUGUUCUUGCACUGACUAUAUAGAAAGAGGAGGCAGAGCAAGCUGGUCUGUAUUAUGAGUGGAGAGACAUAG
rnacentral:snoRNA from 1 species